AAUUGUUGCUAGGGAAGAGAGUUUGCAAAUGGGGCGAUAAUUAUUUAGGUCACAUGGGUCACCACCUUUUUGAAGGGGGAGUUUAUAUGGGCCGCCUUCCGGACCCUGGGGAUGGUACGAGAAAUAAUUAUACGGUAAAAAAUAUGUGUUAAAGAUUCUGCAAUCAGAGGAGCAGAAAGCUGCAGCAAGAAAGGGUCAAGCAAAUCAGUCCAAGUGGAUUUGUUUUUACAUCAAUCUUGCGCAAGGCGUUUAGCACAUCACAAGUAGAAAGUUGUUGAAAUGAAAAUAAAGAUUCACUAUAAAUAGAUGGAACUUCCAUCGAAACAACGAGAGGCUGGGAGAGAGGCAGGCAGUCGACUGGCUGACCAGGAUCAAUUAAACCACAAUUUAUUAAAAAGCCUGCAGAGAUAAAAUGGUGAUUAAAAGCAUCCCUUACAGGUUAGGGCUAUGGCGAAGAUUGAACCUUGGUGUGGACAUAAUGCUACCCAGCUAACAAUUUCUAGGGUGAGAAAACAUUUUUGUAAUGUUAACUGUAAUGUUCCCCUAAUGCUUGAGUGUCCAGUUUUCUGAGGGUUAGGAGAAUAUUCUAUCAACGUCCCACCAAAACAUACACAGAACAUGGUUGCCAUGUUCUCAGCAUGUAAGAUAUUAAUGUUAUAGACACGUUUCAUGGGAACGUUAGCUAGCUAGGCUAAUUGAGGCUGCAGUGCAUGCACUUUCUCUUCCUACAGUUACAAUAACAACAACUCCAUUCAGAAUAUUAAGUAGCAGCCUACCUAUUGACUCUUGGUCGUUGUAGCCUAUUCUUCUCUUUUAACAUUUAAUUUCGUCAUUUUAAUUUCAUCUUCCAUUGAUUAGAUAUCUCCUAACUUUUGCCACACAUGGAGGCUCUAUGACUGUAGCCUAUUGCCGCUUUGAUGACUUAUGAUUGACCAACAACAACAAGCAACACAGGCCACACUCCACUGUUGUGAAAAGCAAGAGCAGCAGCUUAAAUUAUACAAUUUAUCUCUCUCGCUCUAUACUGCAGCAGUCGCGUUGGGGUCUGUACGGGCACUUCCAGACAAGUCAGUUACAAUCACA
rnacentral:lncRNA from 1 species